AGUUUGUUAUUAGGUCACACAGGUUCGUUUCUCCUAGAAGAGUAGGCAAGAGACGUAGGUACCGUAUAAAAAAAAUACAAUUUAUUAACAAGUUGAGUUCCCAAAUAUAAAUAGAUCACUUAAAAUAGCCUCAAUAGCACUAUUCCACCCCUAUCGAUGUUUAAAGAGGCAGUGACAGGCAACAGAUACAGGAAUACACAUUACAUCAAAUCUAAAUUUACACAACUCAAAAAGAAACAAAAACAAAUUUAAUUAACCUACAGAGCUGAGGUUACCCACAGGAGUGUGGUGGACAACUACUCCACUUCAGCACCAAGGCGCACCGGGGCAUGGCAGAGGAGAGAAGUUUCCCCUCCACUGAACGAAGAUCCUGUGGACCAACAGCAUGAGGAGCAUGAUUAUUGUUCAUUUCCCGUUCCUGUAGCUGUCGAUCUUUCUUUAGAUCAGACUGAAGAUCUCCGAAAGGAAGUGGAACAACUGAGGAAACAGAUGGAAGAACUGUCUGUCCGUCACAGAUUUUGCUUGGGCAGAUUUGCUGCAUCAGACGAUGACAUAUGGUUCUACACUAGGUUUGUGACGUACAAUCACUUGAUGGCGUUCUGGAGACUCAUUGAACCUGCAUCCCACAACAUGGUUCGUGUGACCAGAGCAAGGGCAGCUACAACUAGGAGUGAAGGUGGAGCAUCAGGCAAUGCAUCUGGUCAAUGCCUGCAGCCCAUAGAUGAGUUUUUUUCUCUUCAUGGUUCAUCUCUCAGUUGGUCUGACACAAAGGGAUCUGUUUCACAGAUUUGAUAUUCAUCAGUCCACCGUGAGUCAAAUUAUAACAACCUGGGCAAAUUUUCUUUAUACCGUUCUUCGAUCAGUGCGCAUCUGGAUGUCUGAGGAGGCGGUCAAGGCUCACAUGCCAAAGGAGUUCCAGGACUAUCCAGACACAAGUGGUGAUCGACUGCACAGAGCUGCGGUGCCAAACUCCAUCCUCUCUCCUGCUUCAAAGUGAAGUGUUCUCCUCUUAUAAAUCGCACUGCACCUUCAAGGGGUUAAUUGGCAUGGCACCACAUGGCGCAGUCACCUUUGUGUCAUCCCUGUAUGCAGGAUCCAUCAGUGACAAGGAGCUUCUAAAGCAGUCUGGGAUUGUCUCUGCUGAAACCUGACAUGGCUAUUAUGGUCAACAAAGGUUUUCUCGUGGAUGACUGUGUGCCAUGCAAAGUCUACAGACCUGCUUACCUGUCAAAAAGAGAACAUAUGUCGGCUGAUGAGGUAAAGGAAACUCAAUCCAUUGCUCGACUGAGGGUCCAUGUUGAGCGUCUCAUCUGCAGGGUGAAACAACACAAGCUGUUUGAUACAGUCAUCCCUCUUUCCAUCACAGGGAGCAUCAACCAGCUAUACACUGUUGCUUGCCUCCUUGUGAACUACCAGAAUGGCCCCUUGGUAAAAGCAUGGGCAAAGGAUUAAAGACUAGACAAGACACUUGCUGUAGGGGACGGAACAAUUUGAAUUUAUUUGUAGAGAAUAUAAAUAUGUUGAUUAAUUGUAAACAAUUUUAAUAAUGCGUCUGUAAAUAAAUAACUUUGAUACAGCAUUUCUGUAAACAUGUAAAUAUAAAUAGCUGAUAGUGUUUCUGAAAAGUGUAAAUAUAAAUAACUGAUAGUGUUUCUGUAAACAUGUAAAUAUAAAUAACUUUGAUGCAGUGUUUCUGAAAAUGUGUAAAUAAAUAACUUUUUUACAAUGUAAAUCAACUUGAAUUUCUUUUUUC